UACGUAGGUGGCAAGCGUUGUCCGGAUUUACUGGGCGUAAAGAGCGCGCAGGCGGUCGAUCAAGUCCCGUGUGAAAGCCCCCGGCUCAACUGGGGAGGGUCACGGGAUACUGAUCGACUCGAAGGCAGGAGAGGGUAGUGGAAUUCCCGGUGUAGUGGUGAAAUGCGUAGAUAUCUGGAGGAACACCGGUGGCGAAGGCGGCAUCCUGGACCGGUAUUGACGCUGAGGCGCGAAAGCUAGGGGAGCAAAGCGGGG
rnacentral:rRNA from 1 species